GAGGAAAGUCCGGGCUCCACAGGGCAGGGUGCCAGGUAACGCCUGGGAGGCGCAAGCCUACGACUAGUGCAACAGAGAGCAAACCGCCGAUGGCCCACGCAAGUGGGAUCAGGUAAGGGUGAAAGGGUGCGGUAAGAGCGCACCGCGCGGCUGGCAACAGUUCGUGGCACGGUAAACUCCACCCGGAGCAAGGCCAAAUAGGGGUUCACAUGGUACGGCCCGUACUGAACCCGGGUAGGCUGCUUGAGCCAGUGAGUGAUUGCUGGCCUAGAUGAAUGACUGUCCACGACAGAACCCGGCUUA
rnacentral:RNase_P_RNA from 1 species